rnacentral:rRNA from 1 species
CCUACGGGAGGCAGCAGUAGGGAAUGUUGCGCAAUGGGCGAAAGCCUGACGCAGCAACGCCGCGUGAAGGAUUAAGCCCUUCGGGGUGGAAAGUUCUGUCAGUAGGGACGAAACUUGACGGUACCUACAGAGGAAGCACCGGCUAACUCCGUGCCAGCAGCCGCGGUAAUACGGAGGGUGCAAGCGUGGUCCGGAAUCAUUGGGCGUAAAGAGUUCGUAGGUGGCAUAUUAAGUCUGGUGUUAAAUGCAGAAGCUCAACUUCUGUUCGGCACUGGAUACUGGUAAGCUUGAGUGCGGUAGAGGUAACGGGAAUUCCUGGUGUAGCGGUGAAAUGCGUAGAUAUCAGGAGGAACAUCGGUGGCGUACGCGCUUUACUGGGCCGUAAUUGACACUGAGGAACGAAAGCCGGGGUAGCAAAUGGGAUUAGAUACCCGAGUAGUC